UAGGCGGAAUUUGUCGUUAAGGGAAAGGUCGUUUCAAAGCCCUGCACAAGCGUGAACCUAAAUGGAGUUGAAUGUUCACGGUCACUCUAACGAGUGGCUUCGAUUCCAUGGAGGGUGCUAGACCCGUGUGGUCACGUGGUAAAUGCAUGGGUUCGGCUUCUAUUCCCAGAGAGUCGCGUUGCUUGAGCAUGCAGCGCAAAGCAGGUCGUAAACUCGACCUAAGGCUAAAUAUUUCCACAAAACCGAUAGUAAACAAGUACCGUGAGGGAAAGUUGAAAAGCACUCUGAAGAGAGAGUCAAAAGACCGUAAACCCGCUCAGA
rnacentral:rRNA from 1 species